CAGUAGCCGCGGGAAUACGUAGGGUGCAAGCGUUGUCCGGAAUCAUUGGGCGUAAAGCGCGCGUAGGUGGCCAUUUAAGUCCGCUGUGAAAGUCAAAGGCUCAACCUUUGAAAGCCGGUGGAUACUGGAUGGCUAGAGUACGGAAGAGGCGAGUGGAAUUCCUGGUGUAGCGGUGGAAUGCGCAGAUAUCAGGAGGAACACCAAUAGCGAAGGCAGCUCGCUGGGACGUUACUGACACUGAGGCGCGAAAGCGUGGGGAGCGAACAGGAUUAGAUACCCCAGUAGUCCCUGUCUCUUAUAC
rnacentral:rRNA from 1 species